GUCCCUUUGCUUCGGAAUAACAGUUAAGAAAUGACUGCUAAUACCGGAUGAUGUCUUCGGACCAAAGAUUUUAUCGGACAAAGGAUGAGCCCGCGUAGGAUUAGGUAGUUGGUGGGGUAAAGGCCUACCAAGCCGACGAUCCUUAGCUGGUCUGAGAGGAUGAUCAGCCACACUGGGACUGAGACACGGCCCAGACUCCUACGGGAGGCAGCAGUGGGGAAUAUUGGACAAUGGGCGCAAGCCUGAUCCAGCAAUGCCGCGUGAGUGAUGAAGGCCUUCGGGUCGUAAAGCUCUUUUACCAGGGAUGAUAAUGACAGUACCUGGAGAAUAAGCUCCGGCUAACUCCGUG
rnacentral:rRNA from 1 species